rnacentral:misc_RNA from 1 species
UCUCCGUAGGUGAACCUGCGGAGGGAUCAUUACAGAGUUCUCGCCCUCACGGGUAGAUCUCCCACCCACUGUUAUCGUUACUGUCGUUUCUUUGGCGGGCCGCCGGGUCCCCGGCCGCCGGCGCCUAGCUGCCGGCGCGCGCCCGCCAGAGGCCUUCAAACUCUGAAUGUUAGGGUCGUAUGAGUACUAUAUAAUAGUUAAAACUUUCAACAACGGAUCUCUUGGUUCUG